rnacentral:lncRNA from 1 species
CAGAGCCCCGGGGAGAGGGACCGGGGAACUGGGACCUCAGCCCAGUUUCCCCUGCUCCCACAGACCCACUCCAGUGGAAGCCCCAGCCCUCGGCAGCCACUUGUCAGGGGCAGCUCAGCCUCGGGGCAGGAGAGGUGCCCGACCCGGGGGGACCAGUGGGAAAGCAAGAAGAAGACGAGAAAGGAAACGUCAAUCAGCCCAAGGAGAAGGAUAUUCAUGGCCCUGGUUUUCUCGGAUCAUCUUUUCCACAACUUAAAGCAACGCCACGCAAACCCUGGGGUUGCUGAUAUUUCAGAAGCCUGCGUUUGAUUUCCUCUACUUUUGUUUAACUGCAACAUCAAAGUGCCGAACUUGACCUUCCUAUUCCUCCUGGAAUCGGAUGAACGCCACACACAUUCAGAUGCACAGCCAGACGGAGCAUUCAAAGCAGGGUCCGUGUUCGCUCCCGUCCCUCUCCUUGAUCCUGAGCUCAGAGUGAGGCUGUCCCCAGAACUGCCGUCGGCCGGGGGUGGGGGGGACUCCAGUUUCACAAGCGCACUGCGUGGUCGUCGCGAGGCCUUUGGAGUAGCAUCGUGGAUAAAUUGAAAACGGCACAUGAAACAGCUCUGUGCUGUUCAAAGGGAGAGGGUGUCUCUAAUGAGCUUUUGAAAGGAAGUGCAGCCUCGCCCAGGGCCAAGGCGCGCAGUGCCCCCCGGGUUCUGCUCAGGCCUGAGGUUGCUGAUCUCUGACGCCACCCGGGUUCCCGUUGGUUCUCAGGAGCCAGGAUGGGCUGUGGGGGGUGGGGUGGGGGGUGGCUGCCCCAGCAGGAAGCAAAGCCCCCCGUCUCCAGUUCUCUCCCC